rnacentral:rRNA from 1 species
GAGCUUCCGUUGAAUGACGUGCUUGCACUGAUUUCAACAAUGAAGCGAGUGGCGAACUGGUGAGUAACACGUGGGGAAUCUGCCCAGAAGCAGGGGAUAACACUUGGAAACAGGUGCUAAUACCGUAUAACAACAAAAUCCGCAUGGAUUUUGUUUGAAAGGUGGCUUCGGCUAUCACUUCUGGAUGAUCCCGCGGCGUAUUAGUUAGUUGGUGAGGUAAAGGCCCACCAAGACGAUGAUACGUAGCCGACCUGAGAGGGUAAUCGGCCACAUUGGGACUGAGACACGGCCCAAACUCCUACGGGAGGCAGCAGUAGGGAAUCUUCCACAAUGGACGAAAGUCUGAUGGAGCAAUGCCGCGUGAGUGAAGAAGGGUUUCGGCUCGUAAAACUCUGUUGUUAAAGAAGAACACCUUUGAGAGUAACUGUUCAAGGGUUGACGGUAUUUAACCAGAAAGCCACGGCUAACUACGUGCCAGCAGCCGCGGUAAUACGUAGGUGGCAAGCGUUGUCCGGAUUUAUUGGGCGUAAAGCGAGCGCAGGCGGUUUUUUAAGUCUGAUGUGAAAGCCUUCGGCUUAACCGGAGAAG